rnacentral:misc_RNA from 1 species
AAAAAGUGGAUGAAUUGUGCCUUUCUUUUGUUUGCUUUAUCAACAGAAUUAAAUGUUUUUUUCAUUCACAUUUAUUUACAGAGAAUACAANNNNNNNNNCAGAGAAUACAAUUGUAUGCCUUUUUUCAAUUCACCCGUUAGUGAAUUAAUCCCAAUCAGCAUCAAAGAAGCCGGCAUCCUUCAUCUCAGAGUAAUAUGCAUUAUCCAAAAGGAAAUCUUCUUCCUGGAAAAAAUCUGCUAGAAAUGUUAUGUAGAGNAAAGAGAGUGAUAGCAGACAACCAUGAAAUCGUACAACCAAAUGCCAAAGCCAGCCCCAAGUACAGCAAGCCCACAUGCAAACAAUGCCACAGCAUUAAUGNNNNNNNNNGUAGUUGUGGAACGCUGGUCUAGGAGGCAGCCUCUCUCUCCAUUUUGCGAAAUGCACAAAUAAUAUGUAGCCAUAAACUGCUGUGAGCAAUAGCUUGUGGAUAAUCCACAGGCCCCACUGUUCAUUGAUGGUGAUGAUAGUA